GUGACUGGAUCUUGGGGAUGGUUACCCCAAUGCUGUUCUUGUGAUGGCAAGGAUAUCUCUAUGAAAAAACUGACAGAGCCCAGUUCCCUUGCCAGAAUCCUGAAUAUUUGAGUCAAGAUUCCAAGAACUCCUCAUCUACCAUUGCAAGUAUAGGGACAAUGUUGCAUAUCUCAGUGGAACAGCCUAAGAUUUGAAGUCAAUAGGAAACUGAGCUUGACAUAGGAUCUGAACACUCAAAUAUCAACACAACCUCCAGUCUUAAGACUGUGCAUGCUUCUAAUAAAAAUUUGGAACCAAAAGAAGUUUAAAAAGCCGAAAGUGACUAAGUGCUGCUAUCCCAUGCCCCAAAGGUGCUUGGUUAUGUGCCAUCCUUUCAACAAACACAUAUAAUAAGCCAGCAUUAUGCACUAUGGAACUAGAGAUAGAGCCAUGAACAAAAGAGGUAACUCUUCCACUCUUAUGAAACUCUUUCUUUUCUUUUUCAAAUCACUAUCAAAAGCCUUUCAUUCUGAUAUAAAAUCCUGUAUGUAUCCUGGCAGGCUUUCAAAUUUAUAUUUAUACUGACCUUCAUGCUUUUAUUCUUGCAUUCAUCUGUCAUCUUCUUGACAAUUCUCCAUGAAAGUAGAGACAAUAGAAGGUAAAGGCUAAGAACACAGGUUUAUAGUGAGACAGACUGGGGUUCAAAUUCUGGCUCAGCUAUGUUUAUCACUUUUGUGCUAAGUAGUUUACCUACGUCAUUUUAAACUCAAAAAGUAC
rnacentral:lncRNA from 1 species